rnacentral:rRNA from 1 species
UACGAAGGGUGCAAGCGUUAAUCGGAAUUACUGGGCGUAAAGCGUGCGUAGGCGGUUCGUUAAGUCUGUUGUGAAAUCCCCGGGCUCAACCUGGGAAUGGCAAUGGAUACUGGCAAGCUAGAGUGUGUCAGAGGAUGGUGGAAUUCCCGGUGUAGCGGUGAAAUGCGUAGAGAUCGGGAGGAACAUCAGUGGCGAAGGCGGCCAUCUGGGACAACACUGACGCUGAGGCACGAAAGCGUGGGGAGCAAACAGG